GCGCAAGGUCGAGGUCGCGGAAUGCCU
rnacentral:sRNA from 1 species